rnacentral:rRNA from 1 species
AACGAACGCUGGCGGCAUGCCUAACACAUGCAAGUCGAACGAGACCUUCGGGUCUAGUGGCGCACGGGUGCGUAACGCGUGGGAACCUGCCCUUAGGUUCGGAACAACUCCCCGAAAGGGGUGCUAAUACCGGAUAAUGUCUUCGGACCAAAGAUUUAUCGCCAUUGGAUGGGCCCGCGUUGGAUUAGCUAGUUGGUAGGGUAAAGGCCUACCAAGGCGACGAUCCAUAGCUGGUCUGAGAGGAUGAUCAGCCACACUGGGACUGAGACACGGCCCAGACUCCUACGGGAGGCAGCAGUGGGGAAUAUUGGGCAAUGGGCGAAAGCCUGACGCAGCAAUGCCGCGUGAGUGAUGAAGGCCUUAGGGUUGUAAAGCUCUUUUACCCGGGAUGAUAAUGACAGUACCGGGAGAAUAAGCUCCGGCUAACUCCGUG